rnacentral:RNase_P_RNA from 1 species
CAGGAUCAUCGGAUGUCCGCUGAAAGACUUGGGUCUUUUGGAGGAAAGUCCGGACACCACAGGGCAGGAUACUUCCUAACGGGAAGGCGCAGUAAUGCGCAGCCAGCUCCACAGAAACAAACCGCCGGAAGUCCUUGGAUUGACAGCCAAUUUUCGAGCCGUUGUGAGACCUCGAUUUCUGGCUUUUUUAAGGACUCUUUGGCAAGGGUGAAAUGGUGGUGUAAGAGACCACCAGCAGUGAUGGUGACAUCAUUGGCUGGGAAAGCCUUAUCCGGUGCAAUGCCAAAUAGGGAAGCUCAGCGCGGCCCGCGCCAUUAUGCUUUCGGGUAGGCAGCUUGAGCCAGGGCGUGAGUCUUGGCCUUAGAUGGAUGGACAUCGGUCUUGAAAAAGACUACAGAAUCCGGCUUAUAGAUGGUCCUGAGAU